GACGACGCUGGCGGCGUGCCUAACACAUGCAAGUCGAGCGAAGAAUACAUAAAGAAAUCUUCGGAUGGAAUUAUGUAUUUCUUAGCGGCGGACGGGUGAGUAACGCGUGAGGAACCUGCCUUGUACUAGGGGAUAGCCUCGGGAAACCAGGAUUAAUACCCUAUGAUACUUGAAAGUCGCAUGACUUUCAAGUCAAAGCGAUUUAGCGGUACAAGAUGGCCUCGCGUCCCAUUAGCUAGUUGGCGAGGUAAUAGCUCACCAAGGCGACGAUGGGUAGCCGGCCUGAGAGGGUGAACGGCCACACUGGAACUGAGACACGGUCCAGACUCCUACGGGAGGCAGCAGUGGGGAAUAUUGCACAAUGGAGGAAACUCUGAUGCAGCGACGCCGCGUGAGCGAUGAAGGUUUUCGAAUCGUAAAGCUCUGUCCUAAGGGACGAUAAUGACGGUACCUUAGGAGGAAGCCCCGGCUAACUACGUG
rnacentral:rRNA from 1 species